GAGAGAGAAGCUUCCCUCAAGUGUUCUAUGGCUGCUCGGAUCGAAAAGCUCUUGAGAGAUGUUGAUGGUCUGUAUUGGAUUAGAGCUCAUUGGUAUAUGAUACUCUUCAGUGCGUCAAGGGUAGCCGCCAAAGUCCUGAACCUGUUCAUACCACCGCCAUAGAAUCUCGGAUUCGGCGGGAGUGGUUGUGAUUGGAAGCGUCAUUGGUGCGGGUGGAGCUACGGUACACCCCAAAGAGAUGCCCUCCGGUUCAGCUUUCACCUAAGUACCCUGAUCCACCACCUUCUGCUCCUACAACUACGGCUACCGAUGAUCCUACCGCCGCUUUUCGCGAGCAACCUAAGAAGCUCAGAGCCGAUUUUGUCAAGGCUGCUAAACAGGUUACUCUCCUUCUUUCUUCAGAUUUAGUUAAGAUUAUGUGAAAUACAUGUCAUUUUUAUUCUGCUGUUUUGAGUCCUUGGCGUGGUACUUUGUUUUGUUGAAGUUUGAUGCUUUGGUUGCAUCCCUUCCGUUAUCAGACGGAGGUGAAGAAUCUCAGUUGAGAAUAAUCGCUGAAUUCCAGAUAAUAUAAGUCUCACUCACUGAUAUUUUAUGUUUGGUAAAUCAUCUUCUGUUCCCUUCUCUACCAUUUUUCUUCAGGUUGAAAAUGAUUUUACUGGCCAAGAGCUCCAAAAACGAUUGGAGGCUGCAGGUAAAAUUUUCCUGGCCAAUCUUUAGUUUUUUCUUUGGUUGUUACUACCCCACACUAGGACUAAGAUGUUGUUUAACCAUUGCAAGGAGAUCUCUUUAGUGGUUAAAGCUAUGAGAGAGGUGAUGAAUCUGAUCCCUACGCAUAGAGCUUCACUCGCUGUGGCACAAGUAAUGGAUGAAACUUUCUCUUUUUGAUGAUGAAAUAUUGUAUCAUCUUGGAUUGUGCUUUGGUAUGAAGAUUAGUGAUUGUUAAUGGGAUCCAACUAUUGCUGGGUUGGGAGAUUAUCACAAAUGAGAUCAUGAUGUAAAAAAAGUAUUUGGGAUCUUUAAAGUCAUGUAAAUAUAUUUAUGGUACCUUCAUAAAGAAAUAGAACUUUAAAACGUAAUAGCAAUAGAAAGCUUUUCUUCUUUCAUAACUGAUAUAAAACGUAAUAUAUAGAACUUAAAAGCACUGCAAUGAUGUAUAUAUCCUUAAACCAACGGUGUUAAGUCUCGAGGUAUUAAGGCAAACCGUUCACGACCAACACGGUAGGCCCGAGAGCAACUCAAGAGCAGGAUCUACACAAGCCAAGGAAACGAUGUUCUGAAACAUCUAACCAAAGAGACAUAUUACUUCGUCCCUGAAAGCCAGCUUCUCAAAAAUCUGAGUUUAUACUACACGCACAACUCUGGGAAGCAAAAACUCAAAAUGAACCGAAAUUUAAAUUUCUUAAUAUGUUUUAAUCAAUAAAAUUAAAUUACAGCCAAGAUUUUUGAAAAAAAAUAAACCAAUAUAUAUAUAUAUGAAAUAUUAAAGAAAAAUUUAAAUCUACUUACUAAAGUGUACGUUAGAAUAUCUUAUAAAGCAUUUAGGUCGUCAUCACCAUUAGCAACUAUAUAUAGAAAAGCUAUGCCAAACUUCAAUACAUUCUGUUAUGUUUAAAAUUACGUAAAUAAAUUACGUAAAAAUGUCAAAUAAAGUAUAUAGAUAAUGAUUCUGAAAAGAUACAAAAUAUGAAUGGUUAAAUUAGAAUGGUUUAGGUUUGUAGUAAGUUAAACUGAAAAAUCUUAUAGAUUGCUUCCGCUGUGUUUUACGCUUAUGUGGAUUUUGGUGUAAACUACAGUCCUAAUUAAAAUUUACAUAUAAAUUAAAACUAUUCUAAAAUUAGUUAUAAAAAGAAAAAUUAUUAUUAAAAUUAUUUAGUAAAAUAGGCUUAUAGCUUUUUCUGGUUUAUGACCAAAAAAACAUCUACAUGAACAUGCUAGAUUAGCUAAAAACAAUUCUUAGAGAUACAUAUACCACCGUUAAACUUACAAAUUUAACAAAUAUUUAAAUAAAAUAUAUAAAAUACUACACAUAUAAUCUCAUGAAAAUAUGAAAUAAGAAUGUAAAUCUCUAAAAAAAAAAA